UAGGGAAUCUUCGGCAAUGGGGGGAACCCUGACCGAGCAACGCCGCGUGAGUGAAGAAGGUUUUCGGAUCGUAAAGCUCUGUUGUUAAGGAAGAACGAGUGUGAGAAUGGAAAGUUCAUACUGUGACGGUACUUAACCAGAAAGGGACGGCUAACUACGUGCCAGCAGCCGCGGUAAUACGUAGGUGGCAAGCGUUGUCCGGAUUUAUUGGGCGUAAAGCGAGCGCAGGCGGUCAAUUAAGUCUGAUGUGAAAGCCCCCGGCUCAACCGGGGAGGGUCAUUGGAAACUGGUUGACUUGAGUGCAGAAGAGGAGAGUGGAAUUCCAUGUGUAGCGGUGAAAUGCGUAGAUAUAUGGAGGAACACCGGUGGCGAAGGCGACUCUCUGGUCUGUAACUGACGCUGAGGCUCGAAAGCGUGGGUAGCAAACAGG
rnacentral:rRNA from 1 species